rnacentral:rRNA from 1 species
AGAGUUUGAUCAUGGCUCAGGAUAAACGCUGGCGGCGCACAUAAGACAUGCAAGUCGAACGAACUUAACCAUUAGUUUAAUAUUGGAGCGGUUAGUGGCGGACUGGUGAGUAACACGUAAGCAACCUGCCUAUCAGAGGGGAACAACAGUUAGAAAUGACUGCUAAUACCGCAUAUGCCUUAGAAUCACAUGGUUCAAAAGGGAAAGGAGCAAUCCACUGAUAGAUGGGUUUGCGU